rnacentral:rRNA from 1 species
CUACCAGACUCCUACGGGAGGCAGCAGUGGGGAAUAUUGCACAAUGGGGGAAACCCUGAUGCAGCGACGCCGCGUGAGUGAAGAAGUAAUUCGUUAUGUAAAGCUCUAUCAGCAGGGAAGAAAAUGACGGUACCUGAGUAAGAAGCCCCGGCUAACUACGUGCCAGCAGCCGCGGUAAUACGUAGGGAGCAAGCGUUAUCCGGAAUUAUUGGGUGUAAAGGGUGCGUAGACGGGAAUACAAGUUAGUUGUGAAAUCCCUCGGCUUAACUGAGGAACUGCAACUAAAACUAUAUUUCUUGAGUGCGGGAGAGGAAAGUGGAAUUCCUAGUGUAGCGGUGAAAUGCGUAGAUAUUAGGAGGAACACCAGUGGCGAAGGCGACUUUCUGGACCGUAACUGACGUUGAGGCACGAAAGUGUGGGGAGCAAACAGGAUUAGAUACCCCCGUAGA